UGCAAUCUGCUCACGGUGGAUUAAAGUUGGCAGCGGCUGCUGCUGUUGGGCUGCUGCUUCCUGCAAGAGCUGCUGUUGGAGCGGAAGAACGUGAGUUUCCAGCUGCCUUUUGUAUCUCGGCCGUUCCAAUCUCCGGGGGAUGAAUGGAUGCAUAAUAAGCUUUCUUGCUUCCAGAUUUGGAUGAGUAGAGAGUGAUGUUGCCAUCCUGCUGCUAUACGUAUUAAAGAUGUCCUCUGCUGAGUCGAUGUUGUGUGCCUCUCGGAUGUCCUGGCUUCUGAUGUAUCUGCUGGCCAUUGCAAUCUUUCUCACGAGCCGGUUUUGCGUGCCUUCUAUCCUACAGAAUUGAGAGUCACAUACCAAGGCCCCCCACACAGGUAGGGCAUAUUUCCAUAUCGGGGCGAUUAAUUGCUUAUAUACAAUCAUUUUGCAUUCUUUUGACAGACGGCUCUGGCUGCCUAUAAUCCAGUUUAACUUGAUGGCUGCUCCCCUCACUCUAUCAACCAGACAUGAUACAUGUGCAUGUAGAACCAGCUUCCUGUCCAUUAUCAGUCCUAGGUACCGGUGACUGGACUUAUUAACAAUAUGAGUAUCAUACAUUUUUGGUGACAGUUCUCUAAUUCCAUUUUCAAUUGAUUUCCUUGUGUAUAAUACAUGUAUCGUUUUGUCUUUGUUUAGGCUGAUGCCCCAUUUAGAGGCCCAGGAGGUGAAGCUUUGGAGAUAUUUCUCGUUCGUACGGACCGCUGUAGUGGCCAAGCUUCUGGCACACAGGAUGAUGGUGUCGUCUGCGUAUGUAGAUAGCAACAUGUCCUUAUAGUAAUCUGACCUCCAUCUAUCAUUUUGUCCCUCUAGGUGCGGCAGCGGCAUAUCUGACGUGAAAACAGUAUACAACACGGGGCCUAGGACACUCCCCUGUGGGACUCCAGCGCAGAUUUUUCCGGAUCUAGAUCGUAGUCCGUUUUGGCCAUUUACAAUAAAUGAUCUAUUAGUGAGAUAACUUUCUAGAACCUUGUAAUACGCAAAAGGCAGUAGCUUGGCCAGCUUGAGCAGUAGGCCACUAUGCCAAACUCUGUCGAAGGCUUCACUUAUGUCUAUGAAAACAGCAGAACAGUAUAAUUGUUUUUCGUAGGAGUCCAGAAUGUAUUGCGUGACGCGUGCCAAUUGCUGCUCAGUGCUAUGAUGUCUCCUAAACCCAAACUGGUGAGAAGGAAUGGCAUUUUCAAAUUCCCUGCAUUCAAACAUUCGUUUCAUUAGCAGCGUUUCAAAAAGCUUUGAGAAGCCAGCCAAGAGGCUAAUUGGUCGGUAUGAGCCAACAUCAUUUGCGCUUUUGCCUGGUUUCUUGAUCAUUGUAAUUGCAGCACAUUUCCAUUGUUUGGGAAAAUGGCCGUGUCUAAGUAUCGAGUUAUAAAUGUAUGUCAAGUAAAUGACUGCUUUAUGAGGCAGGGCUUUUAUAACUCUAUUAUUUACCCGAUCCAUCCCAGGGGCUUUUUUAUUUUUUAGAGAUCUAAUUUCCAGCAUGACUUCAUUUGGUGAGAUGGGCCUGAAUGGAGGUUUAUUUCCGUCGCUAGUUUCCCCAAAUUGCUGCCUUUGGAGCCAUUCCGGUGUUGCUGUUAAGCGCUUUAGCUGUUCUAGUUCUUUGCGCUCCUCUUCCACCCCGUUCCUGAAUUCCUCAGUGUUGACUAGUUUUGGUGCAAAUCUUUCUUCUAGGUGCGAAACAAAUGCCUCAGCUUUUUCCUCGCUAGUUCUUGUCCACUUAUGGUCACCACCGCUACAACUAAGGAUUUUUAAAGGCCAGUUUGGUUCUGGGUGUCUCUUGAUCUUGUUUGUCAGCCUCCACAAUUUGUCCAUCCUAUAACGAUCGUCAGCGUCUACUUCUUUAAAAAGUUUAUUCAUCUGGCUAUUUUUCUUUUCACGAAUUGCCUUUUUAAGUUUCGAGUUUGCUGCAUUACAUAGCCGUCGCGACUCUGAUGUAGGCCUACGCAUGUGCUCACGCUUGAGCUUCCAUUUUAUUCUUAGGAGUCUUUGAGUUUUCCUAUCGAUUGGUAAUCUUCCUGUGCCUGGCGCAAACCGCGAAGAUGUUAUCGUAGUAGCAGUCGCCGCUGCAUUAUAUAUGUUUUGGUAAAAGAUGUCGAUCGCAUCCUCAAUGUCUUC
rnacentral:lncRNA from 1 species